rnacentral:tRNA from 1 species
GUGGGUGUAGCUCAGUGGUAGAGCACAUGCUUAGCAUGCAUGAGGUCCUGGGUUUAAUACCCAGUACCCCCA